UACGGGAGGCAGCAGUGGGGAAUAUUGCACAAUGGGCGCAAGCCUGAUGCAGCCAUGCCGCGUGUAUGAAGAAGGCCUUCGGGUUGUAAAGUACUUUCAGUCGUGAGGAAGGUGUUAAGGUUAAUAACCUUAGCAAUUGACGUUAGCAACAGAAGAAGCACCGGCUAACUCCGUGCCAGCAGCCGCGGUAAUACGGAGGGUGCGAGCGUUAAUCGGAAUUACUGGGCGUAAAGGGCACGCAGGCGGUUAAUUAAGUUGGAUGUGAAAUCCCCGGGCUUAACCUGGGAAUGGCAUUCAAGACUGGUUAGCUAGAGUCUUGUAGAGGGGGUAGAAUUCCAUGUGUAGCGGUGAAAUGCGUAGAGAUGUGGAGGAAUACCGGUGGCGAAGGCGGCCCCUGGGACAAAGACUGACGCUCAUGUGCGAAAGCGUGGGGAGCAAACAGGGAUUAGAUACC
rnacentral:rRNA from 1 species